rnacentral:rRNA from 1 species
AAAUAAGAAUGAAUUGAGUUUGAUGAUGGCUCUGAAUGAACACUAUUCAAAUGCUUGACACAUGCUAAUCGAACGACUUUGCCCUUAUGGUGUAUAGUAGUGGUGUACAGGUGAGUAUAAGAUAACACGAUUGCCUUGGAGUAAGGAGAAAGAUCCCUAAUAUUAACAAAGAAACUUAUGUUUCGCUCUUAGAAACGUUUAUCUCGUGUAUUGUAGUAGUUAAAGUAAAAGUCUAACUAGCUUUAUAUACGUAGUCGAAACUGAGAGGUUGAUCGAUCACAGUGGGUCUGAACAAAGCCCAUGAUGGAAAUUACAGCAGUGAGGAAUAUUGGUCAAUAGCCUAACGGCUGAACCAGCAACUUGGAAGAAUGUAAAGCAACAGCUGAUUGCACCAACUAAUAGUUGAUGCAAGAUUGACUAUGUCAAAUAAAAUUCUGGGUAGAACUAUGAUAAUGACAUAAUCUACCCAAGUCUUGACCAAUUUGCGUGCCAGCAGUCGCGGUAAUACGUAUAAGGCUAGUGUUAUUCAUAUUUAUUGGGUUUAAAGGGUACUUAGACGGUAGAUCAAGCCUUGCCAGGUACUAAUUUACUAGAGUUACUUACGAGGGGGUAUUAAAGUACUGCAGGUUUAGAGAUGAAAUUCUAUCAUACCUCUUUUCAAUAGAAAAAUUAUGGCACAGGUAUAGGUGAAAACAUCCCCUUAUGUGAUAACUGACGUUGAAGAACGAAGGCUUUGUGUAGCGAACAGGAUUAGAUACCCUAGUAGUCAAAGCAGAAAAUGAUGAAUGCCAUAGAUUAGAUAAAUAGUUUAUUCUAUAAAUGAAAGUGUAAGCAUUCCACCUCAAGAGUAAUUUGGCAACAUUGGAACUGAAAUCAUUAGACCGUUUCUGAAACCAGUAGUGAAGUAUGUCGUUUAAUUUGAUAAUCCGCAAAAAACCUUACCAUACGAAUAUGAAUAUUUAUAUAUAUCUUUUUUUUUCGUAAAAACAUGAAAUAAGAUAAUAUAUUUACAAGCGUUGCACGGCUGUCUUCAGUUAAUGUCGUGAGACUUUGGUUAGUUCCAUUAAAUUAACGUAAACCCUUAUUUUAUUUUUAUAUAAAGUAGUUCUCCACUAUAUUGGAUAUGAUAACAGGGACUAGGACAAGUCAUCAUGGCCUGAAUAUCGUGGGCUACGGACGUGCCACAUAAACCUUACAAAAGGGUGUGAAAUUGUGAAAUUGAGCUAAUCCCCCAAAAAUGGAUAUAAACUGUUAAUGGAUUGUAGUCUGUAACUCGACUGCGUGAAAUAGUAAUUACUAGUAAUCGUGUAUAAGUACGGCACGGUGAAUCUAAUCUCAGAUAGGUACUAACCACUCGUCAGGCGCGGAAAAUAGUAUAUGCAAUAAGUUUGGCUAGUGUUUAUUUUAUAUUUGGGCGUUUUGGUCCAGAAACUUAGGCAUGCGGUCUUCGUAUGCGUUACUUUGAUUGGUGUUAAGUCGAAAUAUGGUUCGUGUAGCGGAAGUUGCACGGGAUUAAUGAUUAUUAAAAAUGCCCAGUUGCAAAAAAAAAACGUAAAUUUAUAUAAACAAGCAAAAUA